AAUGGCCCGACCUGCAGGAGCCAUGCCGCUUAAUCACUCACUUAGCACACACUCGCCCCCCAUAUUUUUAUGGGUUUAUUCAUUUUCAUCUCACUAAAUAAUUUGUUAAUUUAUCGUGUCUUGUGAUUUAUUGUAAAAAAAAAACAUUUUAAAACAACUUUUAAUUGUUUCAUAAUUUCAUUUAUUAAAUAAUUGGUUAGUUAUAAAUUAAUUUGAAAUAAUACAAUUAAGAUGCCUGAAUUAUUUACACAGAUUGAAUUUGUUUACAUAUGACAAUCAAAUGUGACCGUUGAGCACAAAAGUUGGACUACUCUAUGUAUUAUUUUUUAUUAAUAGAAGAGCGUUUCUUUUUGGGGGCAGGCUCCAUGAAUGAAGUCACGUGACCAAACACGAUGACGUCCACCCGGGUACAACAAUCAACAAGCGUGUCUUUUUUUUCCCCCUUCCAAACACGAACGACAGACCUCUCAAAUGUGAAGUCUACCCGCUUCGAGAAGAAGCUACUGACGGCUUACAUCUCGGAGGAAACGUCUCUCGCAAGUCAGGUUGAGGCUCGUCGGCACCGGGAGGGACGCGACAGUGGGAAGCGUUGGUUACCUUCCGAAUGUAAGCCGGGGGGCGGUGGGGGGGGGGGUCUCCUUCUCUUGUGCCCCGCUUGUUUAUUUGAAGGCAAGGGAGUUGUUUGACACUUUGACGCGCGGCGGGGGUCGUGGAAUGUCCAAAGUGUUCGGCUAGCAUCAACUCAUGCGAACCUGCUGCUGCUUCAUCACCUCACCGUCAAAGGGGGAGCAACCGAAGCUGAACAUUCACAAAGCGAAGCCAGGAUCGUUUGGAGACAGGAUAAAGGGGGUCUUUCGGCCGAGGUGGGUCGAGAUGAGCACCAAAGGAUGAGCAUCCUAUGGGAAUGUGUCUUUGUCUUGAAAGGCUUCAGACUGCAAGUGCCAAAUAGGUGUCAAGCUGUCACAUCCAUUUAGAAAACGGAUGCGAAGCAAUUUACACGCUGGGCCAAAAGGUCGCGGGCGUGCUGGAGCCUAUCCCAGCUAUCUUCGGGCAAGAGGCGGGGUACACCCCGAACCGGUCGCCAGCCAAUCGCAGGGCACAGAGAAACAAACGACCAUUCGCACUCACAUUCACACCUAUGGGCAAUUUAGAGUAUUCAAUCAUCCGAGCAUGCAUGUUUUUGGGAUGUGGGAGGAAACCGGAGAACCCGGAGAAAAGCCACCCACGCACGGGGAGAACAUGCAAACUCCACACAGGCGGGGCAGGGAUUUGAACCCGGGUCCUCAGAACUAUGAGGCAGAUGUGCUAACCAGUCGUCCGCCUUGUAAAAAGCAAAAAAAAUAUUAAUAAAAAAUAAAUGAAAAAGGUGUGUCUUGUAAUACUAGUUUACUGUGAUAAAUCUUGGGGCUAAAUGCUUUACUCAUAUAGUAUUAUACCUUUCUUAAUACAGCAACUUUCUCCUUGCAACAUGAAUCUUUGUUUUAAAACUUAGAAUAGUAUUACAACUUAAUUACCCCUUUUAUUUUAUUUUUUUAACCCCCUAACGUUCCUUUGUGUGUUGCAUUAUUUUGUUUGUAUUCCGAUCCAGGUAAGCGCUAGCUCUCUGGUGACAGCAUUUGACACAAUUUAACUGUUCAUUUCUCUUAUUUUGAUGGGGCAGAUGCUCUUGUUUCCCCCUCGCGAGUGGCGGGAUGACAUUUUCAGCCCAUUAGCCUGCAUGGAGGCUAGGUAAUGAAUUAUCUGCCGCUGUUUCUCUUAAAGUCACCUUGGAAACUGUUGAGCAUUUAUGGGCAGAUUGAAGUUUCCCUCCUCGUUCUUGCUCGCCUAGCCGACUUAUUUCAUCAUCGUGUGUGUGUGUGUGUGUGUGUGUGUCCACGCGUGUGCGAUGCAUUUAAAUGCGUUUUAGAAGGCAGGUGCUCGGCUUUGCAAUAAACCUCCCAGUCGCCGCCUUCCAGGUAACGAGAAUAAAUGAGGGCCCGUGUAGGAGCCUGGUGGUUCCGAAACGAUGUGGAGAUCGGCUCAGAAAUAUCUUAGCUCUUAAACUGAGUCAAUCAAGUAGGGUUUUGAUAUUAUCAUUUAAUUCAAAUUUAUUCAUCAGGAUAUUUUAUUUAUUUAUUUUUAAGCGCUUUGUGUAGUUCAAAGCAGGUCUUCGCUAAUGUGCACUGCUUCCACUAACAACACGGCUGCAAAAGCGGUUUAUUUACAUAAGCAGAGUCAGUUCUGCCAACUUAGCGAUUUAGUUUCAAUAUGUUGCGACUUUUCCAACCCUCUUUAGCAACUUUAAUGCAACUGCAAUUCCUGCUAAGAAUCAAUGUGAGUGCAAUCAUUUUCUGCCCAACAACGAUGAGAACAUGUUGGAGAAAAAACUUAUUUCAAAGUGUGUUUGGUUUCACGAGACUCAAUAAAGUCCCAGAAGGGGGAAAAAAACGGAGUAAAACUUGUUUUGAACAAUGUCUUUGUUGUUUGCAAAAGAUUUAUAAAAAUCAGAACGUAGAUUUUUGUGAUUUUUCUUUCUUCCCUCAGAGUUUAAUUUGUAGGCCAUAUUGCUCAGCCCAUGGUGGAGUGUUUUAUUUUUGGAUGACAGUGGUUAACUUAUUUUUACACUGACAUUUUAGAAAGUUAAAAAACAUUUUCGAAAGUUAAGAACACUUCUAAAGUCGUAGAAAACUUUGAAUUUCGAGCCACGCUUGACUUUUGCAUUUAGCGCUAGACCUCAGUUUAGCGAGCGUCAAGCUUUUUAGGCUUUUUUAAAAAAAAAAUACGGUUAGCCUAAAAGCAUAAUUGCUGAAGUCAUAUUUCCAAGUGUUCAAAAAACAAGAAAGAACCCGACAAAUUAAAAAAGAGUCCAUUUACCCAAGCAAAGAAAAAAAAUGUUUUUUUUUAUAUUGUGACAGUAAGUUAGUCACUUGGAGAAUAACUGGCUAGGCAAACAAUAAGCAGUAAGAUUUGUCACUAACUUAUGUGUUUUCACAUAAUAAUAAUAUAUGAUUACCGUAUUUUUAGUUUCCAUGCUUGUUGGUUAUCAGGAGGACUAAAGCAAAUCCUACAAAGGAAAUCAAAUCAAAAAGCGAUCUUGCAUUGUCAUUCGCAUUCUCCGUAAGCAAAGAGGAUAAAAAUCGAUUAGGAUUGUAUUUUUGUUAACAAAUCUUUAAUGUUUAUUUUAAGGCCAAACUGCCCUGCCCUGCUGUAUACUUGCUGAAGGAGAGAAUUGGAUGGAAGAUUUGAUGAAACCCCGAACAAGACUUGGCAUCAUAAUGCCUCUUGUAUGGCCGACACGCAGCUGUGCCUCGGGAGCGGUUACGCCUAUUCAGGACAAUUAAUAGCCUCUAGGAAGGAACACAAACGUGGGAUUUAUCCACAAAAGUGCUGCUUAAGCUGCAGAGGGAAAAUGGGAACGCAUGGAAACACGAUCAAUAUAUUAUUAUAUAUAUAUAUAUAUAUAUUUUUUUUUUUUCCAUCCCUUGCAAUGGGGCGGUGAUGCAACCUCUUGCAAGGGUGAUUGCUAAGCGUUGCGAUAUGCCCGCCGCAGAUUCUCUCAACUGCAGCGUCUUUGACGACUUUGCGCCUAUAACUCGAAUGAGACUGCGUGUUCUUCAGUGUCGGGGCACAUAGAACUUGCGACGAUGGUUUGAGCGCAGACGAGUAUGUGUAUAAUAUUUAUAUAAUUUAUCAAUUUGGGGUUCAGUGUCUUGCCCAAGGACACUUCGACAGCAGACAGUCGGGUCCGGGAUUCGAACCGUCGACCCUUCAGUCACUCGACGACCGGCUACGAACUGAACCGCAUUUGUAUUCUCAUAACGAUGUGACUUUUUUUUUUUUCUAGAAAAAUGCAACUGUUCAUGUAAAAUAAAAAAAAAUGACAAAAAUUCCACUUUAUCAUAAAAUUACAACUGUUUUCUUGUAAUAUUAUGAAUUUCGCCUCGUAGCUUUAUAUUCUUAUUUCAUUUUUCUCCCCCCCAAAAAUUUGACUUUACACUCGCAACAUGACAACUUUUUUCUCGUAACCUUACAACUUGAUUGUUGUCCCGUUCACGUUUUCAACUACUGACAUCUUGUUCUAUAACCCAAGUGGAAAAGGAGUUCCAUUUUUUUGCCUCUCGAUUUAAAAUAUGCAGAAAAUGAUCAGUUGAGACACAUGAAAGAAAAGCGCAGCGUGACAAAAAUAAGUGGCAACCUUUUUUUAAAUUUUAUUUGUAGUUUACUUUUGCAUUUUAACGAACGUGGGAAGACUGCAGGGGGGCUUCUGUGUCUCGCUGCAGAAAAGAAUCAUGACGAGUCCUCUGUGGGGGGAAUGGCUCCUGUGGGACACCCUUUACACCGCCUCUUUGAGAUUAUAUACGCUUUUGUCAUUUACUUCUUUUUGUAUUUAUUCAGCCGGUUGUCACAAAGAGUAAUCUCCCGUAGCCUGUAGGCAGACCUUAUCCCUCGUGGUUGCAAUAAUAUAUUUGAAGUUUUUAACACUCUUCGUGAAAAAAAUAGGCACUGUGAUUGGAUGCUUUGAUAAUACAUGAGCGAUUGACGUCCACGAUCUUGCCUUUGAUAUGUCUUUGCGCGCCAAUAAUAUAGGAGCUGCAUACGCAGUCCAAAGUUUAGGGGAAUAAAUGCCCCCCAAAAAGCCAAUACAUACAAGCUGAAUGCAUCUUAUUAAGAAAAAUAUUUGCUUUAGCGCACAAUAGCAAUGGAUGCUUUUGGUUGGUUAGUACAUAUCCAAUUAAUUCACUUUGAUUGACAUGAAAAUGGCUGUAAACAGCUGUAGUGGGGCUCUAGGUCACCACACCUGGCGCUGCUUCAUGCGUACGCAAGCACCACUACUGUGGAGCUUGUGGCUGUUUUUUUUUUUUUUUGGCCAGUGACCCCCUUUCCUCUGGCAGUGCAAAGGCCCAGAGUAGCCCGAGCUUUACUCUUCUUGUUUAAUCGAGUCCUCCAGGCCCAUACGGAUGUGGGCCGAUGAAGUCUCUCCGCCUGCUUACACUAACAGAGCAUCGCCGGCUGGCAAACAGAAACAGCAGCUGCUGAGCUACAGGGCGAAGAACAUCAUCAUUUUGCGGUGUAACAUCAGCGGAUGCGAAUCUGUCGUACCUGAGUCCCUUUAAAUAAGACUCACAUUAUCACUGACUGGUGUCGUCCCUCGAGGGCGAUGAGUCACUUUUUUUUUUUAGUUCAAAAACCAAAUGAACCUGAUACAUAUUCCAGACAUAAAUGUUCCACAUGAGCAGUCACAUGCUUGCAGGAAUACUGAAUCGACAAUCUGCUACUUAAAACCAGCAAUAUGUCGGUAUAAGAUUAUAUUUCCAUGGCCGGUCUAAGUGCCCAAUUUGGAUUUAAUGCCUAUUUUGGAAAUGUAUUUUCUUUUCUUGUCUAUUUCCAGUGACAUAUACAGUACAGUCGAUACGACUGUGUUUACAUUGAGACAACCUGUGAAGAAAUUCAAAUUCCACGUAAAUAACUCCCUAAGUGUCAAUACUGGGCAGCAACAACAUGGAAGUGAACCUUCAUACAUAAAUAGUUACAAAUAGUGAUUGAAUUUUCUUUUUUCUUUUUGUACCGGAGUCUAAGUUACUUGAUUUUGAGUAUCUGCUCAUACUGAGUCCUGAUCCAAUACCUCGGCAAUAAACUCACUCUUUUUUACGCUUACAAUUAAGCGUGGGUUGAUUGGUCCUGCUUGACGAGUGAGUCACAAGAACGAGGUCUUCGAAAAGUGACUGCUGUCAUCUUACUGUCUCGGACGCUAUGUUAGUGUAGCACUAGCGCUAACAAUAUCCCACAUAUCAAACUAAUGAUAUAAAUGCAAAUAUUAAACGGUAAAUAGCAAUUAUUUGGCCGAGGCUGACUCUUCCCCUCCUGUUUAUUUAAAUGAUGGUAUUGUUGUCAUGAGAGUAUUUGACUUAUUUAGUGAUCUACAAACCUCUAAUUUAGCAUAUUUAGACUCUAUUUACCUUUGCUUUCGCUUUAGUUUAGUUUUAUAUAGGUGUUUUAAUCUGUUUAUUUGUAUUGGCUGGGCAGACGCAGCAGGUGUGUAUACGUCACCAAUCGGUCUACUGUAUUUUGAUGACGUCAAGCUGGCAUUGACGGGGUAUAUCUGAUGUACGUAGUUACCCUGCAUUGGCACAUACCCAACUCGUAACUGUUUUUUUUUGUAUCCAUGUUUGGAAGAGGCCUGAUGAUUCUUCUCUGAAGAUACCUGAUAGUGCCAUGUUUUGAAUAAGUGCCACCGUAAACCGGUGUCAUGUCCGUUCUCUUUUGGUAGCAAACUACAGAAUUCUCAAAGGAAGUUCCAUUUCUCAAACAAAACAAAAAAAAACCCUGAAAAGGCGACCCACCAAGAAUUAUAGCACACCCUUCACCUUAUGUGCCCCUUAUCAGAAGCCAGUCUGUGCAUCCAACAAGACUCAAUGCAGCACUGCUUACCUUUGACAUGAUUGUGUUACAGAAAGGGUACUUUGACGGUUGCUUGACAAUGGCAAAUCGUCCCCAGACUAGCUUCAAAGUCACGGCCUUGGAAACUCUGUUGUGUUGGCAGUAUUGUAUUAUGUAAAUGAGCCCCACUGUUAUGUCACAAAUCAGCAAAAUCUGAACGGCUUGCCCACAGACUCUUUUUUUUUUUUUUCCAGAAAUAGGCAGAUGGCAAAAGCUUUUCUUGAGUGUUUAAUUUCACACUUGAAGGGGUGGGCAGGCACUCCAGAGAGCCAACUAUUUGAAUACACACAAAUCAAAAAAGUAUUUCCGUAAUAUGUCCCCUUUAAGAAACUACUGUAUCUCUGCAGACUAUGGUCUCUAGAAAUCGAAACCCUGUGACACAGGUAACACUACAAUUAAUAGAGUAAUCUGCUAUGGAGAGUUUAGUUGCAGUCCUCUUUGGCAAACCAAAUGUAGGCUACAGAUGCCAGUGGCCCAGUAUCAGCACUGAUAAAUGAGUCUAAUCACAAGUGUUUCCCCCUGUGUGACAUUAUGCAGCAUGUGGCAAUAACUCCCUGAUUCCAGCCUUCAUUUCGGAGGAUAAAUGGCACACAUCAAGAGUCACUGAGGAGCAGAUUGCUCAUUGCUUGUUUCUGAAGAGUCCAGUCCGAUGGAGUUGGAAUCAAAAUUGCUCUGAAAAAUACGUAUGAAUAUGAAUCGCACAAGCUGUCUGAGCACAUCACGACAUCUCAUGUCAGCCAGCAUAAAAGGGUUAACGCGAUCUUCUGUGACUGGUGUCGCACAUUGGAGUCCCUCUGUUUGACUCGAAGGAACACUGACUGACUGUUGACUGCUACGUUAGCUUCUCACGCUGGCUGGCGUUUGGUUAACUGCCCUAUGCUUGUCGCGAGUGACAAGCCUUGUGUCGUUAUCACUGUUACCACUUUUAUUUUAUUUGGUUUCUAUUUCGUAUUUUUUGUUCCAUUCCUGACUCAGCUUUUCCCUUAGAUUCUUUGACUGAUGUGUUGCAAGCCCUUUUUUCCACUUAACUGCUUUUAUUUUGGUGAGUUUUUACUUGGUUUUUGUUCCAUUCAUUUUGGCUUAAUUGAACUCUCAGGCGGCGCAGGUAUCGACCAGCUUUUUGUGAGCUGAGGACUUUAAUCGGGAGCUUCUUUGUUGGGCGUCAUGUGUUCGAGUGUGUGAGCGAGCACCGUUUGUGCUUUUUGACAUUAUAGAGCACUGAGUGAAAAUGUAGACUGUAUAAUUUAGCUUCUCACGCAAGCCGCCAACAGGGUAGCUGGCUAACUGCCUUAUCGUCGUUACUUGUGAUCAAAAGUUCGAGUGUUACUUGAGUGUGUUAUGUUUGUACAUUUCAUAUUACGUAACUGGUAGAUGUUGUAAAGACAGGUUUUGUGUUGGCGACAAUUUGGACUCUGGAUCGAACCAUUUCGUAUUUCCAGUCCAAUGAAAUUUGGGCUGGUCAAAGGUGUUUCCCAUGCGCCCCUGGAGUGUUCCACUUCCAUCUGAAAGUUGAAUGAUUUCCCCUUUGCCUCUUUCUGUCACCCUUAUUUCACGCUCUGAAUAGUUAGUAGUUAAUAGCUUCCCUCCCCCUUUGCAAAGCCCUUCUCUCUCUCUCGUUUUGCUCUCCCGCUCUGUUGUCUGCAACUUUAUCCCAGUCCUUCCUCUUCCGGAGCUAUCGUAGGCAUCUCAUUUUUAAUUUGCUGCUAAACGCCCUGCGACAUGCCUGAUAAUUGACUGCACUCUGCGGAAACGAUGAAUGAUAAGGAUCUGAAUAGCCAGAUCUGUUAUUUGAGACCGCAUAUGAAGAGAAGUAGUAUUUGUGAGGUACCGUCUAGUUAUGAUAUUUAAGCCAUAACACAAUAUUUGACAGUAAAUACCUUAACCUUUAACCAUAAACCUAGCUCUAAAUCUAACCGUUAACCUAACACCUUACCCUUAAGCCGCAAAUUUGACCCUACCUACGAAUCCACGACGUUUCAAUUGCUUUAUCAUAGUGUGCGUUUUGGCCAGAGCUGGCUUGUGCCAGUUUUGUAGCUGUCAGGCCGAGCGGCUGUCCAAACACGUUUUUGAGCAGCGUGCCCUGCUGCUGUUUGCUAUUCAUUCGCGUCAUUAGCCGGCCGAGUGAGCGCUCGGGACUCGUGCUUUUCAGGGAUCGAUGGUGAGAUGCCCAAUUCCUUAACGUGCGAGGUCCGCUCGCCUCUGCGCCGAAUUAUGAUGAUACGCAAGCCCCCUUUGCAUCUCACGCUGAGCAUUCAGAAGAGGGCUGCGUCGUAAUCUGGAUGUGAGAUGUAGGUUUUUUUUUUGUUUGUUUUUUGUUUUUGUUCUUUUGGCCCCGAAUAAUCCUGUUAAGACGGCUGUCAAAGUGGUGAUAGCUCCCCCUGCAGCCCCCUGAGUGGCCAUGCGUGACACCUUCAGAAAUCCACCGCCACCCUCUCACAACAUCCCACCACUACUGCCAUUUUGAGACAGCUGUUGAUGGAAGAUUCCCCUUGCUUGUAUCCUUGAAGAAUCACCUCCUGAGCGUUUUUAUCCCCCCGCCCCACACACACACACACUUGAAGAAAGAAUUGAAGGUGAUAAAUAUUCAUCAUGCGGUGCGACUCGUGGCAACAAAGUGUCCCCCAGCUAAUGGCGGCCAUCCUUGGAGAGGUCCCGCGGCUGGGAUGAGAUCAUUAAAGCAUGACAUCGGGCUCAAGACCGGACUUGGCAUUUCCCAUCAGUGCCCCUCCCGCCCCCAUUGAGCUUCCACCUUCCUCCAUGAGCUCUCCAUGCAUUUCGAAGGUUGUCUCGUCCCGUCACUUCAAUACAAUUUCCUAAUUGGCACUUCUGAUUUUAGGGUUAGGGCUUUUUUGAUUUAAAAAUAAAUAAAAAAAUAAAAAAUUGUGUGUGUGUCUCAUUGCUGAGAUCAGUGCUUUUUCUUCCUUCUGCCCGUUCCUCCCAAGUUCCUCCAAAAUGUGUUGAGUGUGCGCUUUCCCCUCCACCAUGCACGCCUCCUUCUCCAUCACAUCCCCUUCUUCCUUUUUUACCUGGGUGGCCACACUCAGCAUUUUUUCAUCUCCUGUGGGUGUGAUACGUCUCUCCCCUACCAGCAAUCAGCGCUGAUUUGUCAGCAUUCUUCCAGGCGAUUCAUAAAAAUUCAGCAAGUGCCUACAAAAAAAAAAGCCUUCCGCGUCCCUUUCGCCACAACCCCUGGGCUCUACGGUGGGCUCCAUGUCCUCAAUUAUGAAUGUACUAGUUGCAUUCUUUCUGUCUUCAGUCUUUGUCAACCUUGCAGUUUUCUGAUUUGGAGGUAGUCUCAGAGCAGUAUCAGAGGCGGGAGAGCAGAAGUACUCACUCUGUACUCUAUACAGUCAGGUCCAUAAAUAUUGGGACAUUGACACAGUUCUCGUCUUUUUGGCUCUAAACACCACCACAAUGGGGUUUGAAAUGAAAUGAUCAAUAUGUGCUUUAAUUUGAGAGUAUUUACAACUGCAUCAGGUGAACGGUGUAGGAACUGUAUGCCUCCCACUUUUAAGGUAACAAUCCUAAAUCAAACUUUCGCUUUUUAAUACUUCAUUAAAAAAGGAUUUUUUUCAGGCAAUUAGAGCCCGAAGUCUGGAAUGCAUCAGUGACAUCACCAGAUGCUGGAUUUCAUCGCUGGUGAUGCUCUGUCAGGCCUCUACUGCAACUGCUGUCAGAACCUGCUUGUUCUUGGGGCAUUUUCCAUUCAGUUUUGUCUUCAGCGAGUGAAAUGCAUGCUCAUUUGGAUUCGGGUCAGGUGAUUCCCUUGGCCAUUGCCUAACAUUCCACUUCUUUGCCUUACAAAACUCUGAUCAUUAUCCAGCUAUACUGUGAAGCGCCGUCCAAUGAGUUUGAAAGCGUUUGGCUGAAUAUGAGCAGGUAACAUUGCCCGAAACACUUCAGAAUACAUCCUGAUGCCUUUGUCAGCAGUCACAUCCUCAAUAAAUGCAAGAGAACCAGUUCCAUUGGCAGCCAUAAAUGCCCACGCCGUGACACUUAACCACCACACCCUGCUUCACUCAAAAGCAGCAAGGCCCGAUCACACUUUUCCAGACAACAUCUAAAAAAGCCUUUGGAGUUUUGGAACAGCAUCCUAUGGACAGAUGAGAAUUGAGAUCGAUUUGUGCCAGAGUUUUGGAAAGAGAAGAGUAUGGAGAAUGAAAGGCGCUGCUCAUGAUCCAAAACAUAUCGCAUCAUCAGUGAAGCAUGGUGGUGGUAGUGUCAUGGGCAUGUAUGUCUGCCAAUGGAACUGGUCCCUUGUAUUUAUGACAGUUUUGUGAAAAAGGUUUGGGAAGAUAGUGUAACAAAUGUCAUUUGCUUUUUAAAGUAUUAAAGGCGUUUUAGUCUGGCCGAGGGGUCGGCGGGAGCGCAGACUUUGAUGUGCCUGGCGCUGGUGAUGUGGCAUUGUAAUAAAUGUAUGCUUUUUUCGUGUAUUGAAUUGGCGAUCCCGGGACGGAAGAUGAAUGAAUGAAUGAACGAAUUCACGAUUGAACAGGAUUUUGGGGUGAUGUUGUGUUGAAGUUAGUGCACAUCGGUAUAUAAUAGCAACAUAUAAAGUAUGCAAUGCCAACUUGAACUAUGCGGUGUUUGGUAACUCGAGCCUGAUUUUUGUUAUUUUAGAGACGUGAGGCUUCCGCCCGACGAUAUGCGAAUGAGACCCCGCUUGUCUGGCGGUGGAAGGGAGCAGCUGGGCUUGGGCUGUGCUGCCACACUCUUGUCAUCGUGCUGGAGGCUCGCAGCCUGGCCGCUAUCCUUGUAUACACGGACGGUCACUUUGCCUUCCCACCCUCAGUGUUGUGCUGCUCUAAUAAAAAAACACCUCCCUGGCACGGCAUUCCAAGAACUGGGCCGAUUUUGUUCCCCGUUGUUUCCAAUCGGUAUUAGCAGAGUACUUUUCAAUCUAUUGUUCCAUUAUCUGUGCCUCAUCAGGCAGACCAUUAUCCCAUUGUAUUUUGCGUCUGCGGUCCAAAUGCUUACUGGAAAUGAGUCACCACAAGACCAUUGAGCGAUAGGUGCAGCUAACCCUCUGCAGAAUGUGAAAGGCUUUUUAUACGGGCAACAUUGCACUUUUAUGAGGCAAAGCCAGAGGACUUUUUUUUCCCCUCAGUAGACGGCAUCAGGAAUGCAAGUCACAACGCGACCUCCUGUUACGUCCCCAGCCUGUGUGAUGGUGUCGUAUUCGGGUCAGUUUUAACAAGCGUCUGUCUCUCUCUGUGUUUGGCUCAUCCGAGCAGCCCACCUGUAGCACCCUUUCUUUUGUUGCCAUGGAAAUAGGCAGGCAGUCUUUUCUCUGUGUGUCCUUCACUUGUUGAGGUGCAUGUCUGCACAUGACUAAUCCGCCAGCACGUGCCUCCUGUCUUUGGGGGUUCCUUUUGUUGUUUUUAGAUUCUUCAAUAAAACAUCAAGACCCGCCCCCCAACAUGCAUUUGUUCGUGUGCUUAGUUGCAAACAUGCCACCAGGUGUAAAUCAGCUUACUGAGGCAAUGUGCUAGCUGGGCUCACAGCGAUAGGCGCCCGUGUCGCUGACGCAGCAUUUAGCGGGGUGCAGUGGAGCACCUACGGCCACACGGCUGUAAAUGUGUAUGCGUGUGGAUCAGCGCGAACACACUGGAGAACUCCCAGCUUCCUAUCUGUCUUAAAUUUAUCCUGAGCCCCACUGACGACCUGGCAAUGUCCCAUCUUCGGCACUCACCUUUCACCGCCCUGUUAUUGGAAGCUAUUGUCGCAACAUGGAAUUUGGACGGAAUCGACCCGGCAGUUUUCCACCUUCUGAGGUUGUUUCAACGCCCUAAAGGAGACAGCAUAACGCCAGUAGGAGAGAAUCCUACAGCGUCAGAAAUGGGGUGUUAAGUUUAAUAUCUGACACUUCUCCCACCCUGUUGUGUUGAAAGCAACUGACGUGACACAGAUGGUGCAGGUGGUGAAAAUUGACCCAGCAUUUUCCCACCUUUUGAGGUAGUAACAAAGCUGUAACUUUGACAAGGACAAUGCCAGUUUGAAAGAAUUCUGCAAUUUCACAAAUGGGGGUGUGAAGUUGAAUACCUGACACUUGCUUCUCCUGUCCUGUUGUGUUGAAAGCAAUUGUCACAACAUGGAAUGAGGCGAGGGGUCGAACCUGACUUAGCAUUUUUUUUUUUUGAGGUAGUAUGAAAGGAGGCAGGACAACGCCAGGACGGGAGAAUUAGGCAAUGUCAGAAAUUUUACUACCUGACGCUCACUUGAGCCAGCGUUUCCCCGUCAAGUUUUGCUGCUUUGUAUGAACCAUCACGGAUUGGAGUGGGCAGGAAGCCAAAUGGACCCAGACGUUUUCCACCUUUCGAGGAAGUGUCCGAGCCGUAACAGAGGCAAGACGAGCCCUGUGUGUGAGAAUUCCGCAAAAAAGCUUGAACACGAUAAACGCUUCCUUCUCCACAACCAUUUGCAUUCAUCUAUAUGUUGUGCGUAAUCAUCACAUUUUGAUUUGAACUUUUCUGACACAGUUUUAAUCACUUGGGUUUGAUAUCUUU